CGAUGCUUUAGAUCCUUAGUCUCUGUCCGAUCGAAUAGCAAUCCAGUAAGUACGUACUCGAUCAAUAAUGGCAGAGAUGGAUCUAACACCAAAGUCAGCGGUAGCGGCGUUCGAGGGAGAUGGUGGAGGAUAUUACAUAUGGUCAUUUCCGGCGCUUGGGGAGGCCAAUGUUGGCGCCGGCAAGCUUGUAUUGAAGCCUAGUGGUUUUGCUCUUCCUCACUAUGCAGAUUCUGCCAAACUGGGAUAUGUUCUUCAAGGUGAGGAUGGACUAGUUGGAAUGGUAUUCCCCAACACAUCAGAGGAGGUAGUAUUGAAGCUCAAGAAAGGAGACGUGAUUCCGGUACCACUCGGAGCAGUCUCAUGGUGGUUCAACAAUGGCGGCUCAUCCAAUGACCUUGUUAUCGUUUUCUUGGGAGAAACUACAAAGGCUUACACUCCUGGUCUGUUUACUUACUUCUUCAUAGCAGGAACUCAAAGUCUUCUAGGAGGUUUCUCAACUGACUUCAUUAGCAAGUCAUUCAAUAUUACCAAAGAUGAAGCAGAUGAGGUCACCAAAAACCAGACAGGGGUUUUGCUAGUUAAGCUAGAACAGGGAAAGACCAUGCCUAAGCCCAACGCACUCAUCACCCAAAAACUUGUUCAUCAACUCACUGUUAGUGCCACUUUGACUGAGAAGGAGUUUCCUUUUCUUAACCAGGCUGGGUUAAGUGCCAACCUCAUAAAACUUGAAGCCUACGCAAUUUCCUCUCCCAUUUACACUACUGAUUCUUCGGUUCAAGUGAUCUAUGUCCAGGCACGGAACCAGGGGUGGGCUGAGGUAUGCUGCAGCACACCUCAACCAUUUGGAGAAAAAAAAAUGAUUAUAUAUAUAUAUAUGCUGCAACAAGCCAACAACUCUCUUUUUUUCUCCCCUUUUCUCCUCGUCUGUUGUCCCCUCCUCACCUUUUCUCCCCUUCUCUCCUCUUUUCUGUCUUUUCUCCCCUCUUAUGUGACUCCCCUCCUCACCUUUUCUCCCAUUUUCUCCUCCUUUCUGUCUUUUCUCCCCUUUUUCUCCUCUUUUUUGUCGUCCUCUCCUCACCUCUCUCUGCACAUCAGCGUCGGUCUCUCACCUCUCUCUACCAAGUCACUCACUCCUCUCCUCAGCACUCUGCUCUCAUUCUCUCCACUUUAUUGAGCAUGUUUCUGAGUUAAAAUCUAUUCAAGAAGUUGAAGUUGUGGAACAAAUUGCUGUUGGGGAACUUGAAACUGGAAAGUGAGCUAACCAGACAUGCAAUUUGCAAAGAGCUGGAGCUACUCAGUGGAGUUCAAGGUGGUCGGGUCCAAAUUGCGGGUCUUAAUGGUCAGAGUGCGUUGGAUGCGGAAGUAACUGCGGGUCACUUGAUCGUUGUGCCUAGGUUUUUCAUGGUAGCGAAACUUGCCGGGGAAAAAGGAAUGGAGUGUUUCUCUGUCAUUACAAGUUCCCGGGCUGUCCUGGAAGACUUAACUGGCAAGACAUCAGUAUUGAGGGCAUUAUCACCUGAGGUGCUACAAAUAUCCCUAAAUAUAAAUCCAGAGUUGCAGACAAUUCUCCAAUCAAAGAUUAACUAGAGAAAUAGUAGUGGAUCCUGCACUAUCGAAGUCUCUUAUUAAUCGCAUACCUACUUCCAUAUAUAGUCUCCAUUGCAAGACAUGUAAUAAAGUGGAUGAAUUAGAAUAAAACUCCUGUCUGCAGAGGAUUGGAGAUUAUUGUUUUCUUGUUCA